GUGUCAGCCGCCGCGGUAAUACGUAGGGUGCAAGCGUUGUCCGGAAUUAUUGGGCGUAAAGAGCUCGUAGGCGGUCUGUCGCGUCGGCUGUGAAAACCUGGGGCUUAACUCCGGGCCUGCAGCCGAUACGGGCAGACUAGAGUUCGGCAGGGGAGACUGGAAUUCCUGGUGUAGCGGUGAAAUGCGCAGAUAUCAGGAGGAACACCGGUGGCGAAGGCGGGUCUCUGGGCCGAAACUGACGCUGAGGAGCGAAAGCGUGGGGAGCAAACAGGAUUAGAUACCCUCGUAGUCC
rnacentral:rRNA from 1 species